rnacentral:rRNA from 1 species
UACGAAGGGGGCUAGCGUUGUUCGGAAUCACUGGGCGUAAAGCGCACGUAGGCGGAUUUUUAAGUCAGGGGUGAAAUCCCGAGGCUCAACCUCGGAACUGCCUUUGAUACUGGAGAUCUUGAGUCCGGAAGAGGUAAGUGGAAACUGCGAGUGUAGAGGUGAAAUUCGUAGAUAUUCGCAAGAACACCAGUGGCGAAGGCGGCUUACUGGUCCGGAACUGACGCUGAGGUGCGAAAGCGUGGGGAGCAAACAGG